rnacentral:rRNA from 1 species
UACGUAGGGGGCAAGCGUUGUCCGGAUUUAUUGGGCGUAAAGCGCACGCAGGCGGUCUGCCAAGUUCGGAGUGACAGUUUCCAGCUUAACUGGAAAAGGUCUUCGAAAACUGGUGGACUUGAGGACUUGAGGGGGGAGACGGAAUUCCGGGUGGAGCGGUGAAAUGCGUAGAGAUCCGGAGGAACACCGAAGGCGAAGGCGAGUCUCCUGGCAAG